AAUUAUAUAACUUGUCUAGAUCGGUUUUAUAUGCACUUUGAUAAGUACUAUUUCUUCGCAAGUCGCGAUUUUUCACACUCGUGAAUCCGUGAAAUACGGUAUAUUGGUCGUGAUCUAUAGAGGAAACCUCCGUAACUAAACGGAACUUCCAUUACAUACAAUGGCAUCGCUUGCUCAUUCUGUUCGCGGCUUAGUUUGCCGACAAUCACAACUGAUACGUACACUUACUGUCCGCUCUAUCUCUUCAGUCGCUUUGCAGCAACCGAAACAAAAUCAAAGGGUUCUAGCGGAGCCUCAAGUGCCUCUGCCAAUCUUUAAGCUAAACACUAGUUUGGUUCGGUAUUAUUCCUCGAAACCGAAACUAGCCGAGCAGAUUGGUCGGUUGCAACUGCAAUUUACUAGGAGCUACAGCGCCAAGGAACCUUUGACGCUGCAGCUGAUCAAGGAACGUGUCCUGCUAGUACUCAAGCUGUACGACAAAGUCAACCCAGAGAAGCUGUCUCUUGAAUCGCAUUUCAUCAAUGAUCUUGGUUUGGAUUCGUUAGAUCAUGUCGAAGUUAUAAUGGCCAUGGAAGAUGAGUUCGGUUUCGAAAUUCCGGACGGCGAUGCAGAAAAACUUUUUAGACCUGCAGAUAUUGUACAGUACAUUGCCGACAAGGAGGAUAUCUACGAGUAAGCUUUAAUACUGAAACAUUUGCUGCCUGGAUGCUGCAUUAAUGAUAACACUCGCUCUAUAUGUUCCCAGAAAAAUGCUGCUUUUGUAAAAGAAAUACAUUCUAGCAACCAUUGACCGUUGGGUUCCUUGUCCUAUAACAUGGAAUACAAGUGUAAAGCGCAAUGGACCGCGAACAGAUUAACAUGUUGUAUCAUCUAUUUCUUGAUGUGCACGUCAAAUAAAUUUCCCAGAAAUUAUCUAAACCAAGAACGUGUAUAACGAAAUACAGGGUUUGAAACACCUUUGAAACGAGGUUUAAAUUUAUGCAGAGCAUUUCAAAUAAAACCCAAAUGUUGUUUUAAUUCAGA